rnacentral:rRNA from 1 species
AUUGAACGCUGGCGGCAGGCCUAACACAUGCAAGUCGAACGGUAACAGGAAUCAGCUUGCUGAUUUGCUGACGAGUGGCGGACGGGUGAGUAAUGUCUGGGAAACUGCCUGAUGGAGGGGGAUAACUACUGGAAACGGUAGCUAAUACCGCAUAACGUCGCAAGACCAAAGAGGGGGACCUUCGGGCCUCUUGCCAUCGGAUGUGCCCAGAUGGGAUUAGCUAGUAGGUGAGGUAAAGGCUCACCUAGGCGACGAUCCCUAGCUGGUCUGAGAGGAUGACCAGCCACACUGGAACUGAGACACGGUCCAGACUCCUACGGGAGGCAGCAGUGGGGAAUAUUGCACAAUGGGCGCAAGCCUGAUGCAGCCAUGCCGCGUGUAUGAAGAAGGCCUUCGGGUUGUAAAGUACUUUCAGCGGGGAGGAAGGGAGUAAAGUUAAUACCUUUGCUCAUUGACGUUACCCGCAGAAGAAGCACCGGCUAACUCCGUG